rnacentral:rRNA from 1 species
CGGGUUCUUAGCUGCUGUCGACGAUGAAACGCUUCGGUGGUGGAUGAGGUGGCUAACGGACCAGUUACACUUGGGUCAAUCUGCCCUUCACUCUGGGACAAGCCCUGGAAAGGGUCUAAUACCGGAUAACACUCUGUUCCGCAUGGAACGGGGUUGAAAGCUCCGGCGGUGAAGGAUGAGCCCGCGGCCUAUCAGCUUGUUGGUGGGGUAAUGGCCUACCAAGGCGACGACGGGUAGCCGGCCUGAGAGGGCGACCGGCCCACACUGGGACUGAGACACGGCCCAGACUCCUACGGGAGGCAGCAGUGGGGAAUAUUGCACAAUGGGCGAAAGCCUGAUGCAGCGACGCCGCGUGAGGGAUGACGGCCUUCGGGUUGUAAACCUCUUUCAGCAGGGAAGAAGCGCAAGUGACGGUACCUGCAGAAGAAGCGCCGGCUAACUACGUGCAGAGCUCGUAGGCGGCUUGUCACGUCGGAUGUGAAAGCCCGGGGCUUAACCCCGGGUCCUGCAUUUCUAUACGGGCUAGCUAGAGUGUGGUAGGGGAAGAUCGGAAUUCCUGGUGUAAGCGGUGAAAUGCCCAUUUGGGCCCCCGCUUUUGGG